rnacentral:lncRNA from 1 species
AAAACUAUAGAAAAUUUUGAAACUGUUCCAUGGAUCUUUUCACCCUAUCAAUCCAAUCAAGUCUUUGUCCCAGACACAUUAUGUAAACACAACACAUAUCAGAUACGAAGCCAAAUACACUAAUAAAAACCAUAUGUAAGCACUGAAAUAUAAGUAAAUUAUAUACAACCUAUUUAAGUACUAUUUCAUAUGUGAGUUUACGGACUAACA